UACGAAGGUGGCUAGCGUUACUCGGAAUUACUGGGCGUAAAGCGCGUGUAGGCGGUGCGAUCAGUCAGGUGUGAAAUCCCCAGGCUUAACCUGGGAACUGCACUUGAAACUGUCGUGCUAGAAUCUGGUAGAGGAGUGUGGAAUUCCUAGUGUAGUAGUGAAAUACGUAGAUAUUAGGAGGAACACCAGUGGCGAAGGCGGCACUCUGGGCCAGUAUUGACGCUAAGACGCGAAAGCGUGGGGAUCAAACAGG
rnacentral:rRNA from 1 species